rnacentral:rRNA from 1 species
GAGGAAUAUUGGUCAAUGGACGAGAGUCUGAACCAGCCAGUAGCGUGAAGGAUGACUGCCCUAUGGGUUGUAAACUUCUUUUAUACGGGAAUAAAGUGAGGCACGUGUGCCUUUUUUGUAUGUACCGUAUGAAUAAGGAUCGGCUAACUCC